CUUGGAGGAACUUGCAUCUGAAAACAUCCCUAAUCUUGGGACAAAAACAGGCAUCCAGAUCCGGGAGGCACAGAGAACUCCCAUCAAAAUCAACAAAAAC